UGGGGUCGCUGUCUUUGGGGUUGGGGCCUCCUUGGGGUCAUCGUCUUCUUGGGGUUGUCACCUUAUUGGGGUCGCUGUCUUUGGGGUUGGGGCCUCCUUGGGGUCAUUGUCUUCUUGGGGUCAUCACCUUAUUGGGGUCGCUGCCUUUGGGGUUGGGGCCUCCUUGGGGUCAUUGUCUUCUUGGGGUCAUCAUCUUUGGGGUUGGCACAUUGGGGUCAUCGUCUUCUUGGGGUCAUCACCUUAUUGGGGUUGCUGCCUUUGGGGUUGGGGCCUCCUUGGGGUCAUCGUCUUCUUGGGGUCAUCAUCUUUGGGGUUGGCAUAUUGGGGUCAUUGUCUUCUUGGGGUCAUUGUCUUUGUGGUUGGCAUAUUGGGGUUAUCAUUUUCUUGGGAUCAUCAUCUCCUUGGGGUCACCAUCUUUGAGGUUUUGGGGUCAUCCUCUUCUUGGGAUCACCAUCUUUUUGGGGUCACCACCUCCUUGGAGUCAUCAGCUUUUUGGGGUCAUUGUCUUCUUGAAGUCACCUCUUUGGGGUCGCCAUCUUUGGGGUUUUGGGGUCACCAUCUUUGGGGUUGUCACCGUCGCUUUGGGGUCUCCCAUCUUUUUGGGGUCUCCACUUUUGGGGUCACUUUGGGGUUCAUUGCCAAAUUAAAAACCAA
ensembl:lncRNA